ACUGGGCAUGGUGGCGCAUGCCUGUAGUCCCAGCUCUUCAGGAGGCUGAUGGGGGAGGAUCGCUUGAGCUCAGGAGUUCUGGGCUGUAGUGUGCUAUGCCAAUCGGGUGUCCACACUAAGUUCAGCAUCAAUACAGUGACCUCCCGGGGGUGGGGGACCUCCAGAUUGCCUAGGAAAGGGUGAAUUGGCCCAGGUUGGAAUCGGAGCAGGUCAAAACUCCCAUGCUGAUCAAUAGUGGGAUCAUCGUGCUUGGGUACAGCCACUGCAUGCCAGCCUGGGCAACAUAGUGAGGGCCCAUCUCU
rnacentral:SRP_RNA from 1 species